rnacentral:rRNA from 1 species
CACGUAGGGUGCAAGCGUUGUCCGGAAUUAUUGGGCGUAAAGAGCUCGUAGGCGGCCUGUCACGUCGACUGUGAAAACCUAGGGCUCAACCCUGGGCCUGCGGUCGAUACGGGCAGGCUAGAGUUCGGUAGGGGAGACUGGAAUUCCUGGUGUAGCGGUGAAAUGCGCAGAUAUCAGGAGGAACACCGGUGGCGAGGGCGGGUCUCUGGGGCCGAUACUGACGCUGAGGAGCGAAAGCGUGGGGAGCGAACAGG